rnacentral:tRNA from 1 species
UAAAAAGUUAGUUAAAAUAUAAUAUAGGGUUGUCAGCUCUAAGUUACUAACAAUAUUUAGUACUUUUUAU